CAACGAUAGAAGUUUAACGUCAAACUGCAUUGUGAAAUCGUCACAAAGGAAAUUUAUUUUUAAGGUAACGCAUUUAGCCAUUAAAGCUGUGUCAUAAUAAUGUCAUUUAAAUGAAAUAUACAUUAAUAGGCAAUCUUUAAUCCAAGUACGAGAUAAUAGAGUAAGUAAGAGAUAAUAGAUACAUAUUGUGACACGUGAACAAUCAGUCGGAGAAUUCUUGCUCGUUAACGAUAAAAAAGAUCAUAUUAGACAAUUUUAAAGGUUGAAAAAAUAUAGUUAUAUCGCCACAUAUAUUAAUUACAGAAACUGAACGUUUCAUUCAUAAAAUCGAAUACAUAUGCCUUAACCUGCGUUCCUUAAUCUUUUUUUCUGUCUGUUGUAUUUCUUGUUUUCUAUUUGAUAUAUAAUCAUAAACAAUUUUCCUUCUUUUUUUAUGUGAAACAUACAAAACAUAGUGUUAUUGUUAUUUUUUCGUUUCCUUAACAUAAUUUAAUUACAAUUUUUUUAACUAAGUAAGAGAUAAGAAGAGAGAAAUUAUAUAGAAUUUAGGGUAUAGAAUCUUAAGAAUUUGUAACAUUCUUGUUCAAAUUAGUUAUUUUUUACUUCCUCGGAAAUUCAGAGAUAACGCAAUUUAAGUCAAUAUUUAUAUAUCGUUAGGUUUAUAUAUCUUAAUAGAGAAGUGUAACAAAUCAGGUGAUAAUGAUAACUAAUAUAAUUUUUUUAAAGCUAUACACAUAUAAUGAUGUAAUAAAAUAAAAUACUAUUACUUACUUUUUCCUUUUGCUGAUUAAAAAUGUGUUAUCAGUAUAUGCAUUCUGUUAGAGCACUUUGUUAUAUCGCAUUAUGACAUACUAUUGAUCAUAUUUACACUGUGCAUUAUAAACCGGAAUUUUUUAUUUAAUCUCUUAAUUGAUAAAUUUCUAAUGGUAAAUUAUAGGUACUCAAACUGUUCAUUUGUCUUUUCUUUAUUCCUUGAAUUUGAUAUAAAAGAGUUGUAUUUAUGUAUAGUACUAUUUAUCGAAUACAAUCCAGAUCAAAGUUGAAAUGUAUCUGAACUCGCACGAUUAUAAUUUUUCAGAAUUAUUCAUGAAUCUAUUCUAUUCAAAUUUCUAUAAGAAUACGACUAGCUUUAGUAUAAAAUAAACUAUUUUUCAUUGCCUAUGGAUUUACAAAGUUCAUAAUAAAACGUAGAUCUAUCAAUUUAAUUAUAAAUACAAGAAGAAAUAUGAAAAUAUUGCAAAAUAGAAAAAGUAUCUAAAAAUAUAAAAAUAAUUGUUUAUGUCAUUAGCUAUACUUUAUAUUAGAUUUGUAUUAAAUUUAUAUUUUAUAUUGAAAGUUUUACAUUAUAAGUCUAUAUUAUAUUUUUAAAACAGUUUAUUUUAUAUUUACACCUGUAAUGUAACAUUGCAUUAUAUUUUUGUAAUGUCUUAAAUGAACAAUAUCGAAGUAAAGUAAAGCAUCCUCAAUGAAUAGUAUUCGCUGCUCACUUUUCGUAAAUACGAGCAUGGACGAAUGCUAAUUAAAUUAAAAAAUUGAAAAUAAAUGAACCGAAUUGAAGUAAUAUUAUAGUAUCUAAUUCUAUUAUCCUGGAUAAGUUGAUAUAAAUUAAAUUGUAAUUUUGACUGUUAAAAAGUUUUUUAUUCAAAGAUCAUUGACAAUAAUUUUUAAUUUCACGAGUACAAUCUUAUCUAUCGUUAUGUAAAAUAAUAUACCUAUUAUAUCUGUUUUUCCAAAAAGAUACAAUUAGAAUCCUGAUCUGUUUAUAACAAGUGAUAGUACAGCAUAAUAUAUAGGACUCAACUAUAUUUAAAUUAUUAUGUAACAAUAAUAUUAUUUUUAAUAGAAUCAUUUUCAUGAACUUUCCAUGAUAUCAUGCAGUUAAAAUCACAAUCGCGUACGUGUUAUCACUGAUAAAUAAUUUACGAUUAGAUCGUUUAAGGAGAUUAGCUUUCUCCUAAGAAAACUUUACUGGCACCAUGGAUCAUAAUUUAAGUGCAACAUAUUAUAGGAUGUGGUUUAUAUUAUAUUACGUAAAACUGGUAUUAUUUACGAACAUCUGUGAUAACAUUGAUCAUGCUUCUAUUACCUGAUCUGUUUCUACAGUGAAUUUAGUGACUUCCUGUUUGAAAUGCACAUCAUUAUUCUAUUUAUUCUUAAUAUCUUAAUCGAGCAUUUGGGAAUAUAUCAUCUACUCUUAAUAUAAAUAUUUUAUAUACAUGUAAAUGAACUUGUGGUGAACCUAUAUGUAUUCCGGUAAUGAACAUUCAUUAUCGAUAUGAAAAUUUAAUACAGAAAUGAAAAUAUGUUUCUAACAUAUUCACGAUAUAAAAGUGUCGUCAGUACUAGGAAAAAGAGCAUAAUGAAUGACGUACAUAUUCUUCUGAACGUUUCUGGAAAUACCAUAUCCAGAAAUAAAUUAAUUUGAUUAUAUAAUUUGUAAAAUAUGAAACUAUCAAGUUAACUAUAUCACACGAGCUGUUUCACCUUUUCUAUUUAUAUUGUAUUUUUAUUAAAGAAUUUAUUCAACAAAGUCUCUUACGAAUACAUAAGUGAGUGAGUUUUUUAACCAUAUUGUCUAAAACUCGCGUUUUGAAAUAUUCAUUUGAUUAGAUACAUUUUAUAAAUUUAUGAUUUCGACGUUAUGUUAUGUAAUACAAAAAUGAUAAAUUUUCAGUAUAAUUUUUGCAAAUAUUAAAUAUAUCGAACAAAGGUAUAGUUUGGCUACCUCUUUGUACGGAAUCUGAUGAUUCAAACAUUUUUUUUUAUUUUACAUCAACAUCCAAAAUGUAUAGGUAAUUUUCAAUUUGAGAAAGUUAUUCUGUUUUUUUUUUCUUUGGAAUAGUAUGAGACGGACUUCCACAAUUCAAUUUUAUAGCUCGUAAAAGCGUUUGUGAAGACGAGUUCAACGACACAUGACAUAACAUCAUUCAAGGUCAUUCGAGAUUAACCCUUCAUUGACGAGCGACGAACUUAUAUAUAUGCAUAGCAUACAG